rnacentral:pre_miRNA from 1 species
UGGAAUAAUAAUUUAAAAAUUCAAGUCAGAGCUGACUUCUUUGGGGCUUUAUGCAUGCAUGCAUGCAUGCAUACAGCCCCAAAGAAGUCAGCUCUGACUUGAAUUUUUAAAUU